rnacentral:lncRNA from 1 species
CAGGAUUCUGCUCAUACAGAAAGGCGCCAGAAUGUUUGUCUGAGAUGAUUGCAGAAAGGAUGACCUACAAGUGGAUGGUCAGAUCUGGCUGCAAAUGGAUGUCUGAAAGAAAACGGGGAUCCUAGGAAACCCAUCACAGCCCUCUAUGAGCUUCAGAAACCAGCAAGAUGGGAUUUCGGAUGUUGGAAUCAUGAGGCUUUUGUUUAAGAGUUGCUUAAGAUGUUCUUCAGAUCCUGAAUUCCAGCAGAACAGCUGACAUCCACAACCAGUUUGAGGAUCCCCACAGAAGAGCUGAAUCAACAUGAGAAUGCAGUUUCUUCAUCUCUCCAGUCCAUGACUUCACCCUGCAAUCCCCACAGAAGAGCUGAAUCAACAUGAGAAUGCAGUUUCUUCAUCUCUCCAGUCCAUGACUUCACCCUGCAAUCCCCACACCUCAGCCCACUCCAAACCCCUUACAAACUCCUCAGGGAGGCAAAUCUGAGGUUUCCUUCCAUCUCCUUGUUCAGAUGCCCUAUGAUUAUUAAACCCUUUCUCUGCUGCAAUCCUUGAGGUCAGUGUGUCCACUUGCCAUGCUUUAGGUAAGGAACCUGUUACAGUCACACUUCCAUGUCCUCUUCCACGGUGCCACUCUCCCACCACAUCAAUGUUACCAACCCAGAAGCUCUCUAAAUUUCACUGUUCAAGAGUAUUUAUCAAAGCUUUGUUUUGUAGGUGUGUUUGAUCAAAUCAUUGGCCAUUGGUGAUUGAGCUCAAUCUCCAGCCUUUCUCCCCUCCCGGGAGGUUGGAGGGUGGGGUUAAAUGUUCAACCCUCUGAUCCCAUGUUUGGUCUUUCUGGGGACCAGUCCCCAACCUAAAUCUAUCUAAGGCCACCCUGAGUCACCUCAUUAACAUAAACUCUAGUAUGGUCAAAAGGAGCUCAUUAUGAAUAACAAAAGAUACACCUAUCACUCAAGAAAUUCUAAUAAUUUAGGAGCUCUGUGCCAGGAACUGGAGGCAAAUAAAGACCAACUAUAUUAUACCACAACUCAACACCAUUAAUUUGAUUUAUAAAGCUAUGAAGUUAGACAGUGAGACAAACUUUCCUGAACCAUGUACGCAAAGACCACCCCCAAAAUUUCCCCCAAAGUUACUUCCCGAAGAAGCUUUGUCAAAAUUUCCAUUAGAAGUUAUUUUCGGCCAGAUGCAGUGGCUCAUGCCUGUAAUCCCAGCAAUUUGGGAGGCCGAGGCAGGCAGAUCAUGAGGUCAGGACUUCAAGACCAGCGUGACCAACAUGGUG